ACUCGUCCAGUGUGAUGGGAUUGCUGCAGUCGGGCUGCAUCUGCUGCUCACACUCCUCCACCGUCUCCAAGACCUUGCUGAGGUUGGAGAUGACACGCUCCUCAUGGUCCAGGACCUCGGUCAUCUUCUCCAGCUCAUGGAAGAGGUUGACCACCAUGUCCUGCUCAUACUGUAGCUGCCGGGCAUUCUGGAUGAUCUCCUGCUAGGUGAGGUCGAUGAGCAGCUGCAGGUCGUGCUCCAGCUCGGGCAACGCAAAGCCCUGGGCUUUGGCCUCCUUGCCAGACUGUGGCAGCUGUUGGGACUGCAGCCCAUCAUUGGGAACGUUGUGCUUGUGGCUGAUCUGACUGUAGCUGUAAUAGACCUUCUGCUCCUGCCUGUCAUGUGUAUAACCUUGACUUGAGAAAGCUCCUUCUGGGGAGCAGUGAGCUUCUUGCUAAUCCUGCCCUUGGUCUUCAACUUUUCCACAGUCUUGUAAGAGUAUUUGGGCUUCUUCUUGCUUCCACUUGGGUCAUGCAUGCCCUGCUCUGCCAUGACCCCCUGCAGAAACCUCUACUUUGGAGCUCCUUCUUGCAGAAGUCUCUGCAUAAAAGGAAAGGAGGCCAGGUGAGGUUCUCCAACGACCAGACCAUCAAGCUGGAGAAGUUCGAGAUGCAGAAAUACCUCUCUCUGCCCGAGAGAAAGCAUCUGGCCAAGAUGCUGCAGCUUAGCAAGAGACAGGUCAAAACCUGGUUUAAGAAUCGACAUGCUAAAUGGAGGAGACUAAAACAGGAGAACCCUCAAAGCAAUAAAAAAUGAAGAACUGGAAAGUUUGGACAAUUCCUGUGACCAGAGGCAAGAUUUGCCCAGUGAACAGAAUAAAUGUGCUUCUUUAGAUAGCUCUCAGUGUUCGCCCUCCCCUGCCUCUUAGGAAGACCUUGAUUCAGAGAUUUCAGAGGAUUCGGAUCAGGAAGUGGACAUUGAGGGUGAUAAAGGAUAUUUUAAUGAUAGAUGAUGACCACUGGCAUUGGCAUGUUCAGAAAACUCGAUUUAGGAAUAAUAUUUGGAUACAGAAAAUCUUCAUAGAAGAACUUGAAGGUUAUAUAAGAAAAGGAAUCAAUUUUCUCGUGUCCUGGAAACCUAAAAUAAUUGGUGCACUGCUCAGUUAACAAACCUACCUUAAUUUUGACUUAACAAAUAUUUUAUGUACUGAACUUAGGUUGUUU